rnacentral:sRNA from 1 species
CAAAUUGAGAGCAAAUAAGGACGAAUACAUGGUGAACAGUUAACUGGAAGAUCCUACUGGGUCCUUCCACCUGGGGUGGAAGACAUCAAAGUGGCUAUCCUGAUUUAAGAUCUAGUGUCUGGCUGGGUGUGGUGGCUCAAACCUGUAGUCCCAGCUACUUAGUAUGCCAAGGCAGGAAGGUUGCUUGAACCCAGGAGUUGGAGGCCAGCCUGGGCGUCAUAGGGAGACCCUGUCCCUAAAACAAAUAAAUUUAAAAAAAAAAUCUGGUGUCUGUUUUGGCCACUUUGCCAAUCUGCUAGGGAACCUUAGGGCAAGGGUAGAUAUUAACUGCUCUCCCGUCGGUACCUUCUGGGCCUUGAUUAACAAAGUCAGUGCUGAAUGCAUAUGUAUUUGUGCUUCCCUCUUACAUUCCCGUCUGCCAGACAUAACAUAUCAUGACCAUGGUGGUGUUCUCUUCCCAUUUUUUGAAUUUUUUUUUUUUUCGUUUUGCUGCUUGUUUUCUUGCUGUGUUCCUUUUUGACCUUUCUCCCUCCCCACAACCUGGCUUGUGCCAUCCCCGUGACUAUCACUAACAGCCGUUGCCGAGAGAUGGAUGAGCAGAUUAGACUGAUGGACCAGAACCUGAAGUGUCUGAGUGCUGCUGAAGAAAAGUACUCUCAAAAAGAAGAUAAAUAUGAGGAAGAAAUCAAGAUUCUUACUGAUAAACUCAAGGAGGCAGAGACCCGUGCUGAGUUUGCUGAGAGAUCGGUAGCCAAGCUGGAAAAGACAAUUGAUGACUUGGAAGAUAAACUGAAAUGCACCAAAGAGGAGCACCUCUGUACACAAAGGAUGCUGGACCAGACCCUGCUUGACCUGAAUGAGAUGUAGAACACCCCAGUCCCACCCUGCUGCUGCUCCUCCCUCUGACCCAGACUCCGCCUGAGGCCAGCCUGCGGGAAGCUGACCUUUAACUGAGGGCUGAUCUUUAACUGGAAGGCUGCUUUCUCCUUUCGCCACCCCCUCCUUCCCUGUGUCUUUUUCACCAAACUGUCUCUGCCUCUUCCCGGAGAAUCCAGCUGGGCUAGAGGCUGAGCACCUUUGGAAACAACAUUUAAGGGAAUGUGAGCACAAUGCAUAAUGUCUUUAAAAAGCAUGUUGUGAUGUACACAUUUUGUAAUUACCUUUUUUGUUGUUUUGUAGCAACCAUUUGUAAAACAUUCCAAAUAAUUCCACAGCCCUGAAGCAGCAAUCGAAUCCCUUUCUCACUUUUGGAAGGUGACUUUUCACCUUAAUGCAUAUUCCCCUCUCCAUAGAGGAGAGGAAAAGGUGUAGGCCUGCCUUACUGAGAGCCAAACAGAGCCCAGGGAGACUCCGCUGUGGGAAACCUCAUUGUUCUGUACAAAGUACUAGCUAAACCAGAAAGGUGAUUCCAGGAGGAGUUAGCCAAACAACAACAAAAACAAAAAAUGUGCUGUUCAAGUUUUCAGCUUUAAGAUAUCUUUGGAUAAUGUUAUUUCUAUUUUUUAUUUUUUUCAUUAGAAGUUACCAAAUUAAGAUGGUAAGACCUCUGAGACCAAAAUUUUGUCCCAUCUCUACCCCCUCCCAACUGCUUACAGAAUGGAUCAUGUCCCCCUUAUGUUGAGGUGACCACUUAAUUGCUUUCCUGCCUCCUUGAAAGAAAGAAAGAAAGAAGAUUGUGUUUUUGCCACUGAUUUAGCCAUGUGAAACUCAUCUCAUUACCCUUUUCUGGGUUUGAAGCUGCUGUCUCUAGAAGUGCCAUCUCAAUUGUGCUUUGUAUCAGUCAGUGCUGGAGAAAUCUUGAAUAGCUUAUGUACAAAACUUUUUAAAUUUUAUAUUAUUUUGAAACUUUGCUUCUUUGGGUUUGUGGCACCCUGGCCACCCCAUCUGGCUGUGACAGCCUCUGCAGUCCGUGGGCUGGCAGUUUGUUGAUCUUUUAAGUUUCUUUCCCUACCCAGUCCCCAUUUUCUGGUAAGGUUUCUAGGAGGUCUGUUAGGUGUACAUCCUGCAGCUUAUUGGCUUAAAAUGUACUCUCCUUUUAUGUGGUCUCUGGGGCCGAUUGGGAGAAAGAGAAAUCAAUAGUGCAACUGUUUUGAUACUGAAUAUUGUCAAGUGUCUUUUUGAAAUAAAGAACCAGUCCCUCCAACCCUCAG